rnacentral:rRNA from 1 species
UACGAAGGGGGCUAGCGUUGUUCGGAAUUACUGGGCGUAAAGCGCGUGUAGGCGGGUCUUUAAGUCAGGGGUGAAAUGCCAGGGCUCAACCUUGGAACUGCCUUUGAUACUGGAGACCUUGAGUCCGGGAGAGGUGAGUGGAAUUGCGAGUGUAGAGGUGAAAUUCGUAGAUAUUCGCAAGAACACCAGUGGCGAAGGCGGCUCACUGGCCCGGUACUGACGCUGAGGUGCGAAAGCGUGGGGAGCAAACAGG